UUUAUUACAUUUUAAAAAUAUAUUAGUGUAUUUAAUAUAAUUUAUUUGUGUGUUACUUUAUGACGGUGUAAUAAAAUAAAAAAGAAAAAGAAAAACAUUAAGCAGACAAGGAAUGAAUCAGGCCCAUUUUGGCCCAAAUGGCCCAACUAAUCUGGCCGUCUAUUAUCGAUCCGAUGGUUCUGAUCACACUCAUACGAUAUAAAAUCAGCUGACCACCCCCCCAAACCCUAACUCUCCUCUCACACACCUCCACCUCCAGCAGCAGCCCCCAUCCUUCUCUCAUACGCCCACCCAUCUCAUCCAGAUCGGUCCUCUCUUCCUUCUCACAUUUCUUCCUCCUUCCCUGCUCACCC
rnacentral:lncRNA from 1 species